rnacentral:rRNA from 1 species
UACGGGAGGCAGCAGUGGGGAAUAUUGCACAAUGGGCGAAAGCCUGAUGCAGCUAUGCCGCGUGUAUGAAGAAGGCCUUUAGGGUUGUAAAGUACUUUCAUCGGGGAGGAAAAAACAAAACUAAUAAUUUUAUUUCUUGACGUUACCCGAAAAAGAAGCACCGGCUAACUCCGUGCCAGCAGCCGCGGUAAUACGGAGGGUGCUAGCGUUAAUCAGAAUUACUGGGCGUAAAGAGCACGUAGGUGGUUUUUUUAAAGUCAGAUGUGAAAUCCCUGGGCUUUAACCUAGGAACUGCAUUUUGAAACUGAAAUACUAGAGUAUCGUAGAGGGAGGUAGAAUUCUAGGUGUAGCGGUGAAAUGCGUAGAUAUCUGGAGGAAUACCUGUGGCGAAAGCGGCCUCCUAAACGAAUACUGACACUGAGGGUGCGAAAGCGUGGGGAGCGAAACAGGGAUUAGAUACC